rnacentral:lncRNA from 1 species
UUAUUUCAAGAAAUAUAAGAAUUCCAAAAAGUUUCCCUGCACACACACAAAAAAAAAAAAAAAAUGGAAAAUUCAAUCUGGGCUUCCAUCUUUUUAGGCGGGGAAAAAUGAACUCUUCAUUGACCGCCAAAAUGCCGCUGUGGUAGCAUAAAGAAAUUUGAAACUCCCACAUCAGGUGCUCUCUUCGACGUCGUGAUCUAUACACAACAACGUAAUGACCACAAAAAAAAAAAAAAGUUUGUGUUUCCUAGCAGACGAGUCAAUCACACAGCGUUAACUUUCUCUACAGCGUCCCGACGCCCUUUUUUCUUUGAAAAAACAAAAAAGAAAAAAAAACGGGAAGAGGGAAUAACACACCCUACAGUUGGAAGAUCCUGUUACACACCUUACGAGCAACACAGUGGAAAGAAGUUCUUUUUUCGUUGUCAACGUUAGGGAGAUAGCAAUCGGCACCCCCUCCUUUAACGUACCACACAGAUUUUUUCGUCUGUUAAAAAGAUGGUGGUAGGGGGGUUCUUUUCCCCUCCACCUUGUGUGUGUGUUAAAAAUGUGAACAAGUGGCUCUGCCCCUGCUUUGUGUGUGUGUGUGUGUGUGCAAUGAAAGACGAUACCGACGAUGGUUGACAUUCAAGAUGCUGCCGGUUUCUUUUUUCGGGGGUUCUCAAACCGUUGGCAGGGCGCCAUUUUCCUUUUUUUUUUGGUGUUCAGAUAUAAAUCUGUCAAACGUGAAAAACGUAUUCAAACUGUACAUUUUUUUUUUUAAAGAACGAGGGCGUGAUUUCCUUCGUGAUGAAAAAAAAAGGCAACACGUAAGGGCGGCCAUCUUGUUUUCAUAGCCAACGGCACUAAUUAAAAGCCCUGGAGACAUAGAACGGCCGCAAGCUUCUUCCUCUAGUCAUCAUCAUCAUCUUCUUCAUAUACUGCUGGACAAUGACUGCCAAAUGAUGGUGUUCCAUGGCUAUAUAACAUCCGCGACCUCUGGGCUUGACCCCCUCCCAUUUUCCGGCCUUAGGGCAACGCAUCUUCUGUGAGUAAAAGUCAACUUAUUUUUUUUUUUUCUUUUUUGUGGACUCGAUGCUACAUACCCCCAAAAACUACUGUAUGCCUCUUUUUAUGUAAAUGACCCCCUUCGUGAAUUACCUCCACUCUGCGGCUUUACCGGAGCUUCUUCCCAGUGGGUUUCUUUUACUGCCCGGCAGCACCUGCAGGCCAUGAUGGCACCAACAACGGACAUGACGAAGUUCUUUUUUAUUUAUUUUUUUUUCUCUCUUUCUUAAAUAAGGGGAUAACCGAUUCACCUUAUUCCGGAGCAAUCAUCUUUUUUUUUUUUUUUUUUGCUUCUAACUCCGCCCAGUUAAUUACACACGUUCAGACUAUCCAGAAGAUUUUUGUCUUCCUCUUCUUUUCUUUUUUACAACCUGAAGCAGAUCAUUUUCAAGAGUAACAAAUAAAAUGCGAGAAAAAAGGACGUUUUGAGUAAAAAAAAACACGAAGACGGAUAAUUUUAAACACUUAAACAAAUACAAAUUAAGGGUGAAAUAACACAACAAGAGUUUCGAUCGUUGUCGCGUUCACAUUUCGAGUUGUAUGUCAAGUUUACCCAAUUUCACGCCAGGAAUAAAUUAAAGAAAAUCAUUGUUGAUACAAGCAUUUCUGUGAUUGGUCAACCAAAGUCAACAGGUCCCCCUUUCUUAAACAAGUGUCACACACACACACACACACACACACCUAAAGAAUUGGAAGAAAGAAAACAGAUAACUCUUUAACCUGUAUAUGUGCGUGUGUGCAAAAAUCGUAUCUUAAUAAAUCCUGUUUUUCUUUUGCCAAAAGAGUUAGCCAAGCAGAAGAACAUGGGGGGAACAACACACACAAAGGGAAAUAGAAACCCCCACCCUAAAAAAAGGUUCCUCUUCGGACGCCAGUUGGAAAAAAAGAAGAAAAAUUAGAGAAUGAAAGGAAGAAGAAGAAGUGGUUGGUUUGUAGAGAGAACUCGAUGAGUUAGACGAGAUGGUAUUUCCGGCCUGGGGACCCCGACUAUAUGGCCAUGGUACAAAAGAGGGGAUUUUUGUUUGUCUGUAAUAAGACAAGAAGAGAGGGGGGAGAGAGAGAGAAAACCCAAGUUGCUGGCCUCGACUCGCCCUUUUUCCUCUUUUGCGUGUGUGUAAAGGAAGAAGAAGAAGAAGAAAAAAAAGAGCCCCUUCAACCCCAACAGGUCGUUUCGCCUUUAAAGUGGGGGGGAGAACGAAACAAAGAGGAAGUUGGCAACCACUGCCAUCCUCUUUUGCCCCGACGGGCGACCAAAAACACCCCCAGAAAUCUUCGCUUUCAAGAAAAACCUGAACGUAAAAUGCAUUUUCGAUUUUCCAUUUUUAAAGAUUUAAAUUAAGGACAUAAGAAAUGGGGAUGGUGUAAAAUUAUAUAAUUGAAUUAUAGAGUGUGUGUGUGUGUGUGUGUGUGCAGUAAAUAUAUAGCUGAGAGGAUGCAUGAUAACCCCAUGAACGUUAAGCAAAAGAGGCCGGAAGGGAAUGAUUACACUUUUCCGUCCUGUUUCUCUCUCUCUCUUGACUCUUCAAGAGCUUUAUUUUUUAUUAUUAUUUUCUCUUUGUGUUGUUGUUCUGGAGGGACAAUUUAAGAGAUAAAAGAUGACUAUACAUAAAAACAAUGUUUUGUGUUUUUAAAAUCUUCUUCUUAAUAAACAAAAUAUAUAAAAUUAUGACUUGAAAUGAUCAAUUCAAAUCAGAAAAAAAUUACGUUUGCAACCGAC